rnacentral:rRNA from 1 species
GUGGCAACGCAAGUCAGAUGUGAAAGCCCUAGGCUCAACUUAGGAAUUGCGUCUGAUACUGCGCUGCUCGAGUACGGUAGAGGAGAGUGGAAUUCCUGGUGUAGGGGUGAAAUCCGUAGAUAUCAGGAGGAAUACCAAUGGCGAAGGCAACUCUCUGGUCCGAAACUGACACUCAGACCCGAAAGCGUGGGUAGCAAACAGGAUUAGAUACCCUGGUAGUCCACGCCGUAAACUUUGGACGCUUGUCGUUGGGAAUGUUAACCAUUUUCAGUGACGGAGCUAACGCGUUAAGCGUCCCGCCUGGGGAGUACGGUCGCAAGAUUAAAACUCAAAGAAAUUGACGGGGACCCGCACAAGCAGUGGAGCAUGUGGUUUAAUUCGACGCAACGCGCAGAACCUCAUCCUGGUCUUGACAUAUACCGGACCGCUCUGUGAAAGCAGGCUUUCCCUUCGGGGACUGGUAUACAGGUGCUGCAUGGCUGUCGUCAGCUCGUGUCGUGAGAUGUUGGGUUAAGUCCCGUAACGAGCGCAACCCACGUCCCUUGUUGCCAUCAUUAAGUUGGGCACUCUAGGGAGACUGCCAGUGUCAAACUGGAGGAAGGUGUGGAUGACGUCAAGUCCUCAUGGCCCUUAUGACCAGGGCUACACACGUGCUACAAUGCGAGGUACAAAGGGCUGCAAAGCCGUAAGGUGAAGCCAAUCUCAAAAAACUUCGCUCAGUUCGGAUUGAAGUCUGCAACUCGACUUCAUGAAGCUGGAAUUGCUAGUAAUCGC